AACGAACGCUGGCGGCAUGCCUAACACAUGCAAGUCGAACGAGACCUUCGGGUCUAGUGGCGCCCGGGUGCGUAACGCGUGGGAACCUGCCCUUAGGUUCGGAAUAACUCCCCGAAAGGGGUGCUAAUACCGGAUAAUGUCUUCGGACCAAAGAUUUAUCGCCUUUGGAUGGGCCCGCGUUGGAUUAGCUAGUUGGUAGGGUAAAAGCCUACCAAGGCGACGAUCCAUAGCUGGUCUGAGAGGAUGAUCAGCCACACUGGGACUGAGACACGGCCCAGACUCCUACGGGAUGCAGCAGUGGGGAAUAGUGGACAAUGGGCGAAAGCCUGAUCCAGCAAUGCCGCGUGAGUGAUGAAGGCCUUAGGGUUGUAAAGCUCUUUUACCCGGGAUGAUAAUGACAGUACCGGGAGAAUAAGCUCCGGCUAACUCCGUG
rnacentral:rRNA from 1 species